CCCUAUGCCUAUGUUCUGAAUGGCAUUGCCUAGGUUUUUUUCUAGGGUUUUUAUGGUGUUAGGUUUAAUGUUUAAACCUUUAAUCCAUCUGGAGUUAAUUUUAGUGUAAGUUGUAAGGAACGUGUCCAGUUUUAGCUUUUUGCACAUUGCUAGCCAGUUUUCCCAAAG